UACUUUUUAUAUUAAGCUUAAGAUAGAAUAGUUGUUUCGAUAAGUUAGUUGUAGAUCCAAUGGUUCUCCUUUAUUUUAUUGCCUUGUAUAUAUAUGCAGUGAACUGCAUUUCGCGAUGAAUUAAUGAAACAAUAAUUUCUCAUAUUCUCUCUCCACUUUUUUGUUGCAAGUUUGUUACCGUCCUCUCCCUAGUUCCCAUUGUUGACAUGGUAUUAGAGCUUAACAAGCUCUGGUAGCCAUCACUUUCUUCUUCUUUGCGAAUCCUGAUUUCAUUCUCUGCAUAACUUCUUGCAGACUCCUUUUGCAGAUUCUUCUUCUCCUUUUUUUUGCAAAAUUUGGUUUCGCUUCUUUCUCCUUUUUCUUCAAUGGCUUACCAAAGCGAUUCCGAUUUCUCUACCAAUUAUGCAAAUC
rnacentral:lncRNA from 1 species